rnacentral:rRNA from 1 species
UACGUAGGGUGCGAGCGUUUGUCCGGAAUUAUUGGGCGUAAAGGGCUCGUAGGCGGUUUGUCGCGUCGGGAGUGAAAACCUCGGGCUUAACUCGGGGCUUGCUUUCGAUACGGGCAGACUGGAGGUAUGCAGGGGAGAACGGAAUUCCUGGUGUAGCGGUGAAAUGCGCAGAUAUCAGGAGGAACACCGAUGGCGAAGGCAGGUUCUGGCAUUAACUGACGCUGAGGAGCGAAAGCAUGGGGAGCGAACAGG